AGCGAACGUUUGCGGCGGGCUUAACACAUGCAAGUCGAACGGGCUGUUCCUUCGGGGGCAGUCAGUGGCGCACGGGUGCGUAACACGUAGGUAAUCAACCCUCUGGUUGGGGAUAACACUUCGAAAGGAGUGCUAAUACCCGGUAUGGCGCAGCGGUCUUCGGAUCGCGGCGAGAAAGACCCGCAAGGGUUGCCAGAGGACGAGCCUGCGGCCCAUCAGCUAGUUGGCGAGGUAACGGCUCACCAAGGCGAAGACGGGUAGCUGGUCUGAGAGGAUGAUCAGCCACACUGGAACUGAGACACGGUCCAGACUCCUACGGGAGGCAGCAGUGGGGAAUAUUGCGCAAUGGACGAAAGUCUGAUGCAGCAACGCCGACGUGGAGGAUGACACAUUUCGGUGCGUAAACUCCUUUUAUAUUAGGAAGAUAAUGACGGUACUAUAUGAAUAAGCACCGGCUAACUCCGUGCCAGCAGCCGCGGUAAUGU
rnacentral:rRNA from 1 species